AUGAAAUGGAAAAGAACGGACAAACGACAAGAAGCUUUAAAAAGGGGCCGCCACGGGGACAUCUCUGCACGAGGCUUGGCUGCUGUAUUUGGAAGCUCUAUGGACCCCUCUAGAAAACACUGGCCAACUUUACUUCAGUGUCUUCAAGUCUGGUCAUAGUCCCCCCUGGCAUUUUCUAACCUGGUUUUAACUGCCCUGCCACCUCUUUCAUAAAAUAUCCAUUUUCUCGGACUUCCCUGGCGGUCCAGUGGCUAAGACUCUUUGCUCCCAAUGCAGGGGGCCCAGGAUCGAUCCCUGGUC
ensembl:lncRNA